CCUACGGGCGAGCUGCAGUGGGGAAUAUUGGACAAUGGGCGAAAGCCUGAUCCAGCCAUGCCGCGUGUGUGAAGAAGGCCUUCGGGUUGUAAAGCACUUUCAGUGGGGAAGAAAGCCUUGGGGCUAAUACCCUCGAGGAAGGACAUCACCCACAGAAGAAGCACCGGCUAACUCCGUGCCAGCAGCCGCGGUAAUACGGAGGGUGCGAGCGUUAAUCGGAAUUACUGGGCGUAAAGCGCGCGUAGGCGGUCUGAUAAGCCGGUUGUGAAAGCCCCGGGCUCAACCUGGGAACGGCAUCCGGAACUGUCAGGCUAGAGUGCAGGAGAGGAAGGUAGAAUUCCCGGUGUAGCGGUGAAAUGCGUAGAGAUCGGGAGGAAUACCAGUGGCGAAGGCGGCCUUCUGGACUGACACUGACGCUGAGGUGCGAAAGCGUGGGUAGCAAACAGGAUUAGAUACCCGUGUAGUC
rnacentral:rRNA from 1 species